ensembl:snoRNA
UGGUGAUGAAACUUAAACUUAUAGCUGGAAUUACCGGCAGACUGUUCAGUGUUGAUUCUUAGUUUUCUGAAC